rnacentral:rRNA from 1 species
UACGUAGGGGGCAAGCGUUGUCCGGAUUUAUUGGGCGUAAAGCGCACGCAGGCGGUUUCGUAAGUUUGGAGUGACAGUGCCUGGCUCAACCAGGCAAGGCCUCUGAAAACUGCGGAACUUGAGGACCAGAGAGGGACAUAGAAUUCCGGGUGGAGUGGUGAAAUGCGUAGAUAUCAGGAGGAACACCGGUGGCGAAGGCGGAUUUCUGGACCAGUUCUGACACUGAUGAGCGAAAGCCAGGGGAGCAAACAGG